ensembl:lncRNA
GUGAAGAAUAAAGGUGGUCAAACCAAAUACUGACUCUAACUCUCAUUAGAAUUGAAAAAAACAACAACUAUUUUUACCUUAUAUGUAGUAUUUUCAUGUGUUUUUGCACGUUUCAAUGAAUUACUGGACCUAUUUUUCCUUGCAAAAUAAGAAAAAAUCAAAGGUGACUCAAGGCUAUUUGCACAGUCCUCUAUGCUCCCAAAAUAAGGUAAUAAUGCUUUUCUGGACAGCAUGUGAGAGAUUUGCUAAAACAAUUCAAUAUUAAACUGUAAUCCAAGAGCAAAGAUCUAAUCCCCUGGCACUACAUAUUUGUAACAUAAAACAAAUCAAACCAGUAUUUAAAUGAUUGGGAUUCAUAAAUUAGUCCAUGUAGUAUAAGAAAGGGGAUGAGAAAUAGCCAUUAGGGGUCAAGUUAAACAUCUUAACUAAGAUUUAGAUAAAUAAUGUAUCUUCAACACUCAUUUGAUAAAAAAGUCAUCUGUAUUAUGAGCAUGAUUUCAAAUUCAUUUAAUGCAACUUUAGUUUAGCAUUUUAUGACACCAAAGUUCGUUAGCCCAUAUGGUCAGGUCAAGGAGAAAAGCCGAGGGAGUGCCAGGCUCGGCAGAAAAAGAUAGGGUUCACUCUUGGCAGACUGUAUGAAAUUAUGAAUAAAUAACCCAACAUGCUGUUAGCCUGGAGAUAAAACACACAACAUUAUCUUUCUACCCCACCCCCUGAAAAAAUAAUAAAAAAUUAAAUAAAAAAAGUAAUGCCAAAAACAGAUGGCUGCGCCUUCCUGUAUGUCUCAGGCCUUUCCAUCUCAGAGAACCAUUGGCUCGUGCCUGAAUUACUUGCACAUGCAAUACACAAGUGUGCUCUCACCUACAAAUACACUGAAUAUCUUUCUCUCAAGCACACAGGCAUGUUCUUUCAUGGCCCUUCUCUUGUUUCCUGCCCAACAAUUCUCCCAUUCCCCCCCCCCCCCAGUAUCUCCGCUCUCCAAAAACCCUCGCUAAUAAAUAUUAAUGCUGACUUCCAUGUGGUGGGACAGGGCUUACUCACAACCAAAUGAUCCUCACACAGAAUAAUGAAGCUGCUGGGAUCCAGGUGAGAGGACGGAGGGAGGCUUAUGUAACUCAGUGCCAUGUCAGGUAGGUUUCAUCCAUAAUUUAACACUCGGAGAAGCAGAUUGG